CCUACGGGUGGCAGCAGUCGAGAAUCAUUCACAAUGGGGGAAACCCUGAUGGUGCGACGCCGCGUGGGGGAAUGAAGUUCUUCGGAUUGUAAACCCCUGUCAUGUGGGAGCAAAUUAAAAAGAUAGUACCACAAGAGGAAGAGACGGCUAACUCUGUGCCAGCAGCCGCGGUAAUACAGAGGUCUCAAGCGUUGUUCGGGAUCACUGGGCGUAAAGCGUGCGUAGGCUGUUUCGUAAGUCGUGUGUGAAAGGCGCGGGCUCAACCCGCGGACGGCACAUGAUACUGCGAGACUAGAGUAAGGGAGGGGGAACCGGAAUUCUCGGUGUAGCAGUGAAAUGCGUAGAUAUCGAGAAGAACACUCGUGGCGAAGGCGGGUUCCUGGACAUUAACUGACGCUGAGGCACGAAGGCCAGGGGAGCGAAAGGGAUUAGAUACCCGGGUAGUC
rnacentral:rRNA from 1 species